AGUCGAGGGGCAACAGCAGAGCUUGCUCUGGCUGACGACCGGCGAACGGGUGAGUAACACGUACUUAACCUACCCAUAACAAGAGAAUAGCCCCGGGAAACUGGGAUUAAUACUCUAUAACAUAGCGAAGAGGCAUCUCUUUGUUAUUAAAGCUCCGGCGGUUAUGGAUGGAGGUGCGUCCCAUUAGAUUGUUGGUGAGGUAACGGCUCACCAAGUCGACGAUGGGUAGCGGGCGUGAGAGCGCGAUCCGCCACACGGGCACUGAGACACGGGCCCGACUCCUACGGGAGGCAGCAGUAGGGAAUAUUGGACAAUGGAGGCAACUCUGAUCCAGCCAUGCCGCGUGAAGGAUGACUGCCCUAUGGGUUGUAAACUUCUUUUAUUAGGGAAGAAACGUCUGGAUUUACUCCGGACCUGACGGUACCUAACGAAUAAGCACCGGCUAACUCCGUGCCAGCAGCCGCGGUAAUACGGGGGGUGCAAGCGUUAUCCGGAUUCACUGGGUUUAAAGGGUGCGUAGGCGGACUGAUAAGUCAGUGGUGAAAUCUCAUGGCUCAACCAUGGAAUUGCCAUUGAAACUAUUAGUCUUGAGUUCAGUUGAUGUGGGCGGAAUAUGGCAUGUAGCGGUGAAAUGCGCAGAUAUGCUAUAGAACACCAAUUGCGAAGGCAGCUCACAAAACUGUUACUGACGCUGAGGCACGAAAGCGUGGGGAGCGAACAGGAUUAGAUACCCUGGUAGUCCACGCCCUAAACGAUGAUUACUCGACAUUUGCGAUAUACUGUAAGUGUCCAAGCGAAAGCGAUAAGUAAUCCACCUGGGGAGUACGUUCGCAAGAAUGAAACUCAAAGUAAUUGACGGGGGUCCGCACAAGCGGNGGAGCAUGUGGUUUAAUUCGA
rnacentral:rRNA from 1 species